ACAGCGGCGAACGGGUGCGUAACACGUGAGAAACCUGCCCCCCAGACCGGGAUAGCCCAGGGAAACUUGGAUUAAUACCGGAUACUCUCCUCGGACCGCAUGGUCCGUUGAGGAAACAGUCCGCUGCUGGGGGAUGGUCUCGCGGCCUAUCAGGUAGUUGGUGAGGUAACGGCUCACCAAGCCGAAGACGGGUAGCUGGUCUGAGAGGACGAUCAGCCACACUGGAACUGAGACACGGUCCAGACUCCUACGGGAGGCAGCAGCAGGGAAUAUUGCACAAUGGGCGAAAGCCUGAUGCAGCGACACCGCGUGCGGGAUGAAGGCCUUCGGGUUGUAAACCGCUUUCAGGAGGGAAGAAACUGACGGUACCUCCAGAAGAAGCUCCGGCCAACUACGUGCCAGCAGCCGCGGUAAUACGUAGGGAGCAAACGUUGUCCGGAUUUACUGGGCGUAAA
rnacentral:rRNA from 1 species